AUUCUACUCCCUCCGUCCGGAAAUACUUGUCAUCAAAAUGAAUAAAAGGGGAUGUAUCUAGAUGUAUAUUAGUUCUAGAUACAUCCCUUUUUAUCCAUUUUGAUGACAAGUAUUUUUGGACGGAGGGAGUACAUU
rnacentral:pre_miRNA from 1 species